CCGGCGCCGGGAGGGGGCCGCGCUCAGUUUGUAGGUUAAGGCGAUUAUCAUACGCGUUAAUUAUCUAUUAGAUCAGUUAAUACGGUACUUCCGAUGCGAUUUAUUGCGGCGACGUGAAGGAAAUGGAAAUCGCCAGCGGAAGUAUAUUGUUGCAUAUUGUUGAUAAAUCGAGAAAUUGUUGCAAAAUAGUUGUCCACCAAAUAGUGCCGUAGCAAGUUUAUGACUUGAUACCUUUUUAGCGGCCACCCUCAGCCUCAUUCGAAUUCGACCAUUUGGCGCCACUUUAGAUGUCGACCAACAAUCAACAGAAUCCUCUUCAUUCGGCCAACCCCAAACGACUUUAGGAAGGACAUCCACAGUUAAGACAAAUGGAGAAUUUUGAAUUCCAAUCAAACCCUAGAGAAAUCAUCAAACCCCAAUUAAACCCAUCAACUACGCAUCCUUUCUAUUGACUGGUUCUUCUGUGGAAUAGCACUAAAAACGUAGUGUUUCUUUCGGGCUUCCCAGAAUCCGACAAGAUGUGUGUGGCUAUAAAAUUAAACCUUACAGAAAUGGUUUGGAUGGUAUAGAGAGGUAUUUGGAUUCUGAGGAUUUUACAGGGUUCUACCGAAUCUAAUAAGCCCCAUGACUACUUGAAUACUGCCCUGCUAAGCAAUUUGUAAAUUAUGACAUGCCAUCUUCGCUCAUUUGCAAAACUGUUCUUUUUUAAGAUCUCAAUGUGAACUUCACGUUAAUAAACUUACACAAGAAAUUUUAAGGUUGUAAAUUUCGGGAUUUAAUAAAAAAUUGACUUUUGUUAGAUACGACUUUUUGUUUUAGUAUUCUCAUACUAUUAAGGUAUAGACAUACUAAGUAAUUUUGCAGUAUAGUACUCAUAGUUUAGCAAAUAACAUAAAAGCAAACAACACAAACUUUGUAAGAAAAACAUAUAUUAACUAAAAAUAAUACAUUAUCUAAUA